AAGAAAGAAUAGUCCGCGCUUUUCCCACGUUCCCACUUGCAGCUUCCAGCUCAACUCGCCCUGGGUCGAUUCCACCGUCGCUCAGCUCAACUCUUGACGAGAGAAAAAAUGCUGUGAAUGUGGCGUUGUAAAGCCUGCCCCUCAGAUUUACCAAGAAAUGGCUGAGACCCAUUUCUUCAAAGCCAUAGAGAUGACGACUGUGGGGAUCUAUGUCGUGAAAGACACUGCCACCAGCGAACCCUCUGACGUUGGAAUAGUCAUCGAGGGUGUGGUGGCACUUCGAGAUCUUGAGAAUGUAGCCCUUGCGUCUUCAGUGUUGUUUGGACUCUUGUAUGCAUUAAACAUGCAGUACCCUACAAAGCUCCGCUACACUUUUGAGGUAAUUCAGAAGAUAAUCAUGGAGCUGGAUGCGGGGGACCUGUCAAGAAUGUCUCAAAGCCUGAAAACUAAGCUCCACCAGUGAAGAGAGCUCAUUGUUCUUGGCUCUUCUGGAUUAGGACAUGAUUUUUAAUAGUAAUAGUCUCCAACUCUACAUUCCUGGACUCACUGGUGUUGCAACAUGGUUUUGGGACUACCAGUCCAGUGAUAUUUUUCUUUUACAGUUGUGAUUACUUUACAGCACCAGGAACAUGUGAUUUUUACCAUUCCAUGUGUUAAUGUGUUCAAAUUUAAUAUAUUGUUCAAAAACCCUUAUCUUCCCAUAGAAUAUUUAGAGUGCAUUGUUUUAUAUAUGGAGUCUGCAGUUCAAUUUUAGAAAUUAUUUUACCUGUUUUAGACAACAAAGCUACACCAGGGAAGGGGGCUCAAUGUAUUUGUCUCCUGGUUUGAUCAGGACAUGACUGUUGGGAUGCACCUUUUAAUCGUUUAGCUACAGUUUACAUUCCUUGACUGAGUGAUGUUGCAGCCUGGUUUUGUUGUUUGUUCCCCAAUCCAGUGAAAGUCAAGUUGUACAGUUUUGAUUACAGUACCAGGCACAUUUGAAUUGAACCAUUCCAUUUUAUUGUGUUAAUAUAUAAUGCAUUGUUCAAAAACCUUGAGCUUCUCACAGGACAGUUCAUGUAUAUUUGUUU